CCUCAGCAGUAUGAUGACCCUCGUAAUAAUCGUAAGCCAUAUCGUCCCACAAAACCUCAAAAGUAUGAUGACCCUCGUAUUAAUCGUAAGCCAUAUCGUCCCAAAAAACCUCAAAAGUAUGAUGACCCUCGUAUUAAUCGUAAGCCAUAUCGCCCCAAAAAAUUCAAACCUCGCUUCAAUCAAAACUCCAAUUCCAAUAAUGUAAAAAAUCCUUUAGUUUAUCCACAAACUGGAAUUUCCGUACAACAGAGUCCGCAUCAACAAUAUGGAUUGGUGGAUCACGGUACGCCAGUGUCGCCAGAUGACUAUGGAGCACUGUGGUGGUUGCCCGAUUAAAAACGUAAGUAAAAAAAAAGAAAAGAAAGGAAACCAUGAAACAGUAGGACUAGGGCCCUGUGCUGGGAGGUUUUCUGGCCACGUCUUUCCCUCAGCGUUACAGAUUCCGAUGUGGUAGUAGUUUUACAGCUAGUUACAUAAUAAUGUAAUUUAAUUUUUUAACGUUCAAAAAGCGCUAUCUUUGUAAGCCAAUUUUGAAAAAUACUUAGAUAUUUUUGAAGUUUUUUUUUGUUUUGACGUGACUUAUUGUAGAUUUGCCGCAGAUGGCAUUAACUACUUGGCCGGACAAAUGGGGAGCGCUGAAAGCUCUCACCCGGUACAACGUGUAAAAUUUUUGAAGUGAA